rnacentral:rRNA from 1 species
CAGUAGCCGCGGUAAUACCGAGGGUGCGAGCGUUAAUCGGAUUUACUGGGCGUAAAGCGUGCGUAGGCGGCUUCUUAAGUCGGAUGUGAAAUCCCUGAGCUUAACUUAGGAAUUGCAUUCGAUACUGGGAAGCUAGAGUAUGGGAGAGGAUGGUAGAAUUCCAGGUGUAGCGGUGAAAUGCGUAGAGAUCUGGAGGAAUACCGAUGGCGAAGGCAGCCAUCUGGCCUAAUACUGACGCUGAGGUACGAAAGCAUGGGGAGCAAACAGGAUUAGAUACCCCGGUAGUCCCUGUCUCUUAUAC